rnacentral:rRNA from 1 species
AUUGAACGCUAGCGGGAUGCCUUACACAUGCAAGUCGAACGGCAGCACGGACUUCGGUCUGGUGGCGAGUGGCGAACGGGUGAGUAAUGUAUCGGAACGUGCCUAGUAGCGGGGGAUAACUACGCGAAAGCGUAGCUAAUACCGCAUACGCCCUACGGGGGAAAGCAGGGGAUCGUAAGACCUUGCACUAUUAGAGCGGCCGAUAUCGGAUUGGCUAGUUGGUGGGGUAACGGCUCACCAAGGCGACGAUCCGUAGCGGGUUUGAGAGGACGAACAGCCACACUGGGACUGAGACACGGCCCAGACUCCUACGGGAGGCAGCAGUGGGGAAUUUUGGACAAUGGGGGAAACCCUGAUCCAGCCAUCCCGCGUGUGCGAUGAAGGCCUUCGGGUUGUAAAGCACUUUUGGCAGGAAAGAAACGUCCCGGGCUAAUACCCUGGGAAACUGACGGUACCUGCAGAAUAAGCACCGGCUAACUACGUGCCAGCCGCCGCAGUAAGAC